GUGAGCGUAGCUCAGCUUGGUAGAGCGCCAGACUGUGGAUCUGGACGUCGCGGGUUCGAAUCCCGUCGCUCACCCA
rnacentral:tRNA from 1 species